UCUGCUAAGUCGCAAGACGAUGUAUAGGAGCUGACGCCUGCCCGGUGCUGGAAGGUUAAGGGGAUCUGUUAGAGCAAUCGAAGCAGUGAACUUAAGCCCCAGUAAACGGCGGCCGUAACUAUAACGGUCCUAAGGUAGCGAAAUUCCUUGUCGGGUAAGUUCCGACCCGCACGAAAGGCGUAACGAUUUGGGCACUGUCUCAACAACAGACUCGGUGAAAUUGUAAUUCCGGUGAAGAUGCCGGAUACCUGCGACAGGACGGAAAGACCCCAUGGAGCUUUACUGUAGCUUGACAUUGGGUCUUGGUACUACAUGUACAGGAUAGGUGGGAGGCUUUGAAACCAGGACGCCAGUUUUGGCGGAGCCAUCCUUGGGAUACCACCCUUGUAGUACUGGGACUCUAACCAUAGGCCAUGAAUCUGGUCUUGGGACACUGUCAGGUGGGCAGUUUGACUGGGGCGGUCGCCUCCCAAAAGGUAACGGAGGCGCUCAAAGGUUCUCUCAGUACGGUCGGAAAUCGUACGUAGAGUGUAAAGGCAAAAGAGAGCUUGAUUGCAAGACAUACAGGUCGAGCAAGGAUGAAAAUCGGACUUAGUGAUCCGGUGGUUCUGCGUGGAAGGGCCAUCGCUCAACGGAUAAAAGCUACCCUGGGGAUAACAGGCUUAUCUCCCCCAAGAGUCCACAUCGACGGGGAGGUUUGGCACCUCGAUGUCGGCUCAUCACAUCCUGGGGCUGUAGUAGGUCCCAAGGGUUGGGCUGUUCGCCCAUUAAAGUGGUACGCGAGCUGGGUUCAGAACGUCGUGAGACAGUUCGGUCCCUA
rnacentral:rRNA from 1 species